rnacentral:rRNA from 1 species
GGUUAAGCGACUAAGCGUACACGGUGGAUGCCCUGGCAGUCAGAGGCGAUGAAGGACGUGCUAAUCUGCGAAAAGCGUCGGUAAGGUGAUAUGAACCGUUACAGCCGGCGAUGUCCGAAUGGGGAAACCCAGUGCAAUUCGUUGCACUAUCGUUAACUGAAUACAUAGGUUAACGAGGCGAACCGGGGGAACUGAAACAUCUAAGUA